rnacentral:misc_RNA from 1 species
CAGAGUUAGGGUCUUAUAGGCCCGAUCUCCAACCCCAUGUUUAAUUACCUUGUUGCUUUGGUAGGUCAGUUUUAUGACUAUCCAUUAGUUAAAAACUUGUGGAUUAGUACCUACCAAUAGCCUUAACAAAUUCUGAAAAAAAUGAUUGUCUGAGUUACAAACUUAAUAGUUA